rnacentral:rRNA from 1 species
AAUAGAUACCCAGGUAGUCCAUGCCGUAAACGUUGGGAACUAGAUGUAGGGCCUGUUCCACGGGUUCUGUGUCGUAGCUAACGCAUUAAGUUCCCCGCCUGGGGAGUACGGCCGCAAGGCUAAAACUCAAAGGAAUUGACGGGGGCCCGCACAAGCGGCGGAGCAUGCGGAUUAAUUCGAUGCAACGCGAAGAACCUUACCAAGGCUUGACAUAUAGAAGAAUACUGCAGAGAUGCAGGACUCUUUGGACACUUCUAUACAGGUGGUGCAUGGUUGUCGUCAGCUCGUGUCGUGAGAUGUUCGGUUAAGUCCGGCAACGAGCGCAACCCUCGUCCUAUGUUGCCAGCGGUUCGGCCGGGAAUUCAUGGGAUACUGCCGUGGUCAACACGGAGGAAGGUGGGGAUGACGUCAAAUCAUCAUGCCCCUUAUGUCUUGGGCUUCACGCAUGCUACAAUGGCCGGUACAGAGAGCUGCGAUACCGCGAGGUGGAGCGAAUCUCAAAAAGCCGGUCUCAGUUCGGAGUU